UACGUAGGGUGCGAGCGUUGAUCGGAAUUACUGGGCGUAAAGCGUGCGCAGGCGGUGAUGUAAGACAGAUGUGAAAUCCCCGGGCUCAACCUGGGAACUGCAUUUGUGACUGCAUCGCUGGAGUGCGGCAGAGGGGGAUGGAAUUCCGCGUGUAGCAGUGAAAUGCGUAGAUAUGCGGAGGAACACCGAUGGCGAAGGCAAUCCCCUGGGCCUGCACUGACGCUCAUGCACGAAAGCGUGGGGAGCAAACAGG
rnacentral:rRNA from 1 species